GCGGUUAGAAUAAGAAUUAAGGGCGGUGCCUAUCAUGCAGUCGAGCGGACAGAUGGGAGCUUGCUCCCUGAUGUUACCGGCGGACGGGUGAGUAACACGUGGGUAACCUGCCUGUAAGACUGGGAUAACUCCGGGAAACCGGGGCUAAUACCGGAUCCUUGAUUGAACCGCAUGGUUCAAUUAUAAAAGGUGGCUUUUACCUACCACUUACAGAUGGACCCGCGGCGCAUUACCUAGUUGGUGAGGUAACGGCUCACCAAGGCAACGAUGCGUACCCAACCUGAGAGGGUGAUCGGCCACACUGGGACUGAAACACGGCCCAAACUCCUACGGGAGGCAGCAGUAGGGAAUCUUCCGCAAUGGACAAAAGUCUGACGGACCACCGCCGCGUGAGUGAUGAAGGUUUUCGGAUCGUAAAACUCUGUUGUUAGGGAAAAACAAGUACCGUUCAAAUAGGGCGGUACCUUGACGGUACCUAACCAAAAAGCCACGGCUAACUACGUGCCACCAGCCGCGGUAAUACGUAGGUGGCAAGCGUUGUCCGGAAUUAUUGGGCGUAAAGCGCGCGCAGGCGGUUUCUUAAGUCUGAUGUGAAAGCCCCCGGCUCAACCGGGGAGGGUCAUUGAAAACUGGGGAACUUGAGUGCAGAAAAGGAGAGUGAAAUUCCACGUGUAGCGGUGAAAUGCGUAGAGAUGUGGAGGAACACCAGUGGCGAAGGCGACUCUCUGUUCUGUAACUGACGCUGAGGCGCGAAAGCGUGAGGAGCGAACAGGAUUAGAUACCCUGGUAGUCCACGCCG
rnacentral:rRNA from 1 species